rnacentral:tRNA from 1 species
GAAAUAUAAUGUUUAAACACAAGCUGCUAACUUAGUGUUUUAGCGGUUAAAUUCCGUUCAUAUUUCU